AGCAGCCGCGGUAAUUCCAGCUCCAAUAGCGUAUAUUAAAGUUGUUGCAGUUAAAAAAGCUCGUAGUUGAAUUUCGGGAUUAGUACGUUGGUCGUGCCUUCGGUACGUACUGGUGUUACUGAUUCCUACCUUCUGACGAACCAUCAUGUCAUUAAUUUGGUGUGGCGGGAAAUCAGGACUGUUACUUUGAAAAAAUUAGAGUGUUUAAAGCAGGCUCGCGCUUGAAUACAUUAGCAUGGAAUAAUGAAAUAGGACGUUGAUCCUAUUUUGUUGGUUUCUAGAAUUGACGUAAUGAUUAAUAGGGAUAGUUGGGGGCAUUAGUAUUCAAUUGUCAGAGGUGAAAUUCUUGGAUUUAUUGAAGACUAACUAUUGCGAAAGCAUUUGCCAAGGAUGUUUUCAUUAAUCAAGAACGAAAGUUAGGGGAUCGAAGACGAUCAGAUACCGUCGUAGUCUUAACCAUAAACUAUGCCGACUAGGGAUCGGAUGAUGUUAUUUUUAAUGACUCAUUCGGCGCCUUACG
rnacentral:rRNA from 1 species